rnacentral:rRNA from 1 species
CCUACGGGUGGCAGCAGUGGGGAAUAUUGGGCAAUGGGCGCAAGCCUGACCCAGCAACGCCGCGUGAGUGAAGAAGGCUUUCGGUUUGUAAACUUCUUUUCUCAGGGACGAAGCAAGUGACGGUACCUGAGGAAUAAGCCACGGCUAACUACGGGCCAGCAGCCGCGGUAAUACGUAGGUGGCAAGCGUUAUCCGGAUUUACUGGGUGUAAAGGGGGUGUAGGCGGCACUGCAAGUCAGAUGUGAAAACCACGGGCUCAACCUGUGGCCUGCACUUGAAACUGUAGUUCUUGAGUACUGGAGAGGCAGACGGAAUUCCUAGUGUAGCGGUGAAAUGCGUAGAUAUUAGGAGGAACACCAGUGGCGAAGGCGGUCUGCUGGACAGCAACUGACGCUGAGGCGCGAAAGCGUGGGGAGCAAACAGGAUUAGAUACCCCUGUAGUC